UAUAGAGAGUUUUAAGGAAAUUAACUUCCAAUUCUUCUUUCCAUUUUUGAAAACCAAGAACCUUGGAGUUUACUUUUUGAGAUAUUUUAUUUCAUCCUCAGCUGAGCAAAAGGAAUAAAGCUUUUUUAUUUCUGUUAAGACAGAGGGUAGAAAUUUUACAUAUCUGAAGACAGAGGAUAUAAAUUUUACAUGUUUGCUUUAAUUUUACCUGGUACUCCAGGUCUUUGGCAUUAAACAGUGUAGAGCAAGAGGAAAAUUGAUAAGAUGUAGCUAGAUGUAAACUAGGGAAGUCAGGUCAAGAAAGUGGCAGAAAAGAAACAUCAGUAAUGGUAAUGCAGUUUGCUCUUGGUACUCUUUUUAGAUUGAAAUUAUGACUAUUAAGUAGAAUAUAAGAGUGAUGCUUGCACAACUUCUUGGGAAAACAUAACUGAGUUGACCACCAUUCCUCUUUGUCGCUUCUCCUGUCUUUGCAGGCCAUCAAUGAUUGUCUUCUAUCAUUUUUUCCCUUUGUUACAUGUAAUUUUGGGAUACAUCUAGUCCUGUUGGUGAUUGUGUAUGUUAAGCAUUAUGCUUAGAGUUACGGAUAAACAUAAAGUAAUAAAAAAUAUUUGGGAGGUAGAAUUUUGAUGGAGUUCGUGGACACACAACAUUCAAAAUGCCAAGAGAGAGAUUUCUUGUUAUAUGUUAAACUUGACUUAGAGGAAGAGUUAAGUAUAUCAGUAGCAAAAUUUCCAAAGCCCUGAACGCCUAUCCUAAUUUGCUAGAGGGAAGAGGAGAAAAUAUUAAGAUUAUCUUUUCAAUUUCAGGACAUUAGAAAGCGGGAUAAAGGUAAAACAAACUAGUCUAGGCCCUCUUGUUAUCUCAUCCUUCCUAUCAGAUCAAGACGUCAUCCUUCUGAUAUCAAAAAUAGGCUAUGAUCAGAAAUUUAAAUUAUUUAGACUGUAUAUACUUUACAGUCUUCAACUUUGAGUUUCUUUCUAACUCUUAAGUGGCUGAAAUUGACCCCCAAAUUACUCAAUGUAUUAUGAUGCAAUUAGCAUAAUGGGAGAAAGAAAAGGCAAGCAAUUAUAUAAAUGUGUGCCUAUUGGUUAAAUAAAGAAAACAAGAUUACAUGAGUUUGAAAAUAUGAAUAUCAGGUACUGUGUAAUUAUAAUAUUGUACUUUAACACUACCUUCUUCUUCAUUUUACAACCACAUUUUUCUAGAACUGGAGUGACAAGGAGAGGAGUAGGAGAUGAAAUCAGACAGGCCAGAGCUUUGGUUUUUUGCUGUAAGUGAAAUGAAAACCCAUGUGCGGGUCUUAACAAAAGGAGUGACAUGAUCUGAGUCAUGUUUUAAGAGGAGGAUUCUUUUGGCUGCUGAGUUGAGAUUAGGUUGAGGGUAGUGAAGGUAAAGGCAGUGAGACCACGUAGGGGUCAUUGCAGUAUUCCAGGCUGGAGAUGAUGGUGGUUCAGUUGGAAUAGCAGUGCGUGUUCUGUAACAACCUCAGCUGGGAAGCAGUAUAUGUGGCAUUAUGACCUCAGCUGGAACAGCAAUGCAUGUGGUGGUGUAAUGACCCCAGCUGGGUAGGGUGCAUGUGGUGUAACGACCUCAGCUGGGUAGCAGUGUGUGUGAUGUAACAACCUCAGCUGGGUAGCAGUGUACUUGAUAAAAUGUUGGCAUACUCUAGAUUUGUUAUGAGGGUAGUGCCAUUAAAUUUCUCCACAAAUUGGUUGUCAUGUAUGAGUGAAAAGAGGAAGUGAUGGAAGACUUCAGUGCUUUUGGCCUGAAUAAAUGGAAGACGUCAUUUCCAGUUAAUGGAGACAGGGAAGACUAAAGAAUGAAAUACUCUGAACCGCUCCAAUUUGAAAUGUCUAUUCGACAUCCAGGCAAAGAUGUAUAUUGAUUGACUUCAAUGCAAAACUUCAAGCAAUAAAACUUCCAGAAAGAAAUGAAGGAAUGCAUCUGUGUGACUUUGGGAAUACAAAUUUUUUUUUCAAGAUACGCAAAACUACUGACUCUAAAAUAAAAUAAAAUUUUAUAAACUGUAUUAUGUUAAAAUUAAGAAUUUUAAUUCAUCAGAAAAUGCCAUCAAGACAGUUGAAAGUCAAGCCAAGGAGUAAGAGAAAAUAGUUGGAAUACACUUAUAUAUCUGACAAAGGACAAAUAUCCAAAAUAUAUGAAGCACCUCUGCAAAUCAAUAAAAAAGGAAGAUAAUCUCAUAAAAAUGAUAAAAAGACUUGUAACAGGUGCUUCUCAAAAGAGAAUAUCCACAAGGCCAGUAAACAUGAAAAACUGCUCAACUUCAGUAGUCAUCAGGAAUAUGUGAAUUAAAACUGCAGUGAAAUACUUUUACACACCCAGCAGAAUGGUUAGAAUGAGAGAUUCCUUCUAAGUGUUGACUAGAAUGUGGAAAAACUGAACUUAUGCUCAUUGCUAGUAGAAAUAUGUUGUUAUAAUUGCAUUUGAAAACUCUGGAAGUUUCAAAGAAAGCUGGAUGUAAGCAUAGCCAGUGGUUCUACUCCCAACUAUGUAUCCAACAGAAACCCAUUCUUUGUUCACAAAUGAUUUGCACAAGUAUGUUCAUAGCAGCACCAAUCCUAAUAGCUUUCAAACCAGGAAGUAAGCAAAUGUUCAUCAGUAUGAAAAUAAACACACUUAUUGUGGUACACAAAUACAAUAAAAUGUAGUAAAGAAUCAUUUAGAAUGCAUAUGACAUAGUAGAAGUAUCUCAUAAACAAAAUUUUGGGUAAAAAAAUGGCAGAUCCAAAAGAAUACAUACUGUAUAAUUCUAUUUAAAUAAACCUCAAAUACAAGUAAGCAUAAUCUACAAGUAAAUGUAAAUCAGCAUCUUGAUUGCUCUUUUGAAAGGAGCAAUAGUGCCUGGGCUGGGCAAUGUUCUUUUUCUUGGUCUUGGCACUAAUAACUUAACAUAUGUUAACUUCAUGCAUAUUUAGUAAUCUACAUACUUAUAAUCUGUAAGUUAUAUUUCAAUAAAAGCUUUAUCUAAAAAUAUAAACAAUAAACAGAUAGCUGAUUAUGGGCAAAAUAUGGCUCAAUGUUGAAAUCUGUUUAAUUUUUUUUAAAGAAUGUGUAUCUUAUCUGUGCAUGUGUCGGUGAGAUCCAUGCUGCUAUUCUCAUCCUGCAGUAACUAGAAGCAGUGUAAUUACUUUUUGAAAAUUUUGAACAUACUCUUCUGGAAGCAUGCAGAAUCCACUGUUGGAAAAUAUGUAUUUGUAGAGGUCACACCUUAAUUAUUUGGGGCCAAAAUCCACUGUACUUUUGGUAUUAUUUAAUAAUAAUAUUGCUUUUCUGAUGAGAAAGGUUGGACACUGCUAAUUAAAUAGAAUUAGACUCAAUGUUUCCCCAUCUCUGCUGUCAAAAUCCAUUCACUGUCUAUGAAAAGACUCAUGAAACAGCAACUAGUCUUCACUAACUUAUUUUGUUCAAUUAAAAUUAAAUUACACAAUUGAACUUUUUGUCUUUUUUAUAUAACAUUUUAGUUAAUUGCUUAAU